GAUGAAGAACGUAGCGAAAUGCGAUACCUGGUGUGAAUUGCAGAAUCCCGUGAACCAUCGAGUUUUUGAACGCAAGUUGCGCCCGAAGCCAUUUGGUUGAGGGCACGUCUGCCUGGGCGUCACAUAUCGUUGCCCGAUGCCUAUUGCACUGUGAUAGGAAAUUCUAGGGCGAAAGAUGGCUUCCCGUGAGCGUUGUUGCCUCGCGGUUGGUUGAAAAUUGAGUCCUUGGUAGGGUGUGCCAUGAUAGAUGGUGGUCGAGUUUGCACGAGACCGAUCAUGUGUGCGCUCCCCAAAAUAUGGACUCUUUGACCCCACACGCGUCUUUUGACGCUCAUGACGAGACCUCAGGUCAGGCGGGGCUACCCGCUGAGUUUAAGCAUAUCAAUAAGCGGAGGA
rnacentral:misc_RNA from 1 species